UACAGAGGGUGCGAGCGUUGUCCGGAAUCACUGGGCGUAAAGGGCGCGUAGGCGGUUUCUUAAGCGUGUGGUGAAAGCCCGGAGCUCAACUCCGGGUCGGCCGUGCGAACUGGGAGACUGGAGCUUGUCAGAGGCAGGCGGAAUUCCGGGUGUAGCGGUGGAAUGCGUAGAGAUCCGGAAGAACACCGGUGGCGAGGGCGGCCUGCUGGGACAGUGCUGACGCUGAGGCGCGACAGCGUGGGGAGCAAACAGG
rnacentral:rRNA from 1 species